rnacentral:rRNA from 1 species
GAUGAACGCUGGCGGCGUGCCUAAUACAUGCAAGUCGAGCGAACAGACGAGGAGCUUGCUCCUCUGACGUUAGCGGCGGACGGGUGAGUAACACGUGGAUAACCUACCUAUAAGACUGGGAUAACUUCGGGAAACCGGAGCUAAUACCGGAUAACAUGUUGAACCGCAUGGUUCAACGGUGAAAGACGGUCUUGCUGUCACUUAUAGAUGGAUCCGCGCCGCAUUAGCUAGUUGGUAAGGUAACGGCUUACCAAGGCAACGAUGCGUAGCCGACCUGAGAGGGUGAUCGGCCACACUGGAACUGAGACACGGUCCAGACUCCUACGGGAGGCAGCAGUAGGGAAUCUUCCGCAAUGGGCGAAAGCCUGACGGAGCAACGCCGCGUGAGUGAUGAAGGUCUUCGGAUCGUAAAACUCUGUUAUUAGGGAAGAACAAAUGUGUAAGUAACUAUGCACGUCUUGACGGUACCUAAUCAGAAAGCCACGGCUAACUACGUG